AAUAAGUGGCAAAGUAAACAAAGUUAAAAAUGAACAAAAUGAUUAAAAAUUAGCAGAAAUUAACAAAAUAAUCAUGAAAAUAAGCAGAAAACAAGCACAUAAAUAAACAAGAUCAUUAAUAAAUUGUAUUUCAGCAACAAAUUAAUUAAAACUGAUGAAAUAAUGUGAUUUGAUUUGUUUUUGCUCCAAAAUACCCUGAAAAUUCACUUAUGUAAUCAGAGGUUUUCCACAAAACGUGGUCUAGAUGUGGACAGAUCUAAAUGUGGAUCAUGGUCUUGGUGCAGAUGUGGAUCAUGGUCUUUCGUGCAGGGGGCCAAAGCGGGCUAAAGUGGGCCAAAGCGGGUAAACCCUGGUCACCCUGCGUCUCUGUUCUGUCUCUGGUGUCGUCGUCGGUGGUCUACAGUGUUUCCAGUGUUGGUGUGGGUUCACUCUGUUCCUCCGGGGUCAGAGGUCAACGGAGGAGGCUCAGAUGGACAGACGGACCGGACCUCACGCCUCCUCCGGCCUCUUGUUAAAGCCAUAGAACACAGAGCUGCACCUGAACGCACCACGGACUCCCCAGUGGAAACGCCAUCAGACGGACAUGAUGUUUGGACCCACUGUGUCUCUGCUGGACCUGUGAUGUUCUGUUGAUGUUCUAGUGUUUAUGGAGACCAGGUCCAAAGGAGACCAACGAGGUCCACCAUGUGGGACAUGAGGACCUACAUUUAGAUCCAACAAAUGAACGCACAGUAACAAGAAGAUUUUGUCUCAGACGCCGAAAUAAAUGAAAUAAGGAACAAAAAUAAUAAAUUUG